UGUAAGAGUUGAAGAUGUGAGAAUCCUGA
rnacentral:piRNA from 1 species